rnacentral:rRNA from 1 species
AACGAACGCUGGCGGCAGGCUUAACACAUGCAAGUCGAACGCCCCGCAAGGGGAGUGGCAGACGGGUGAGUAACGCGUGGGAAUCUACCUUUUGCUACGGGAUAGCUCCGGGAAACUGGAAUUAAUACCGUAUGUGCCCUUCGGGGGAAAGAUUUAUCGGCAAAGGAUGAGCCCGCGUUGGAUUAGCUAGUUGGUGGGGUAAAGGCCUACCAAGGCGACGAUCCAUAGCUGGUCUGAGAGGAUGAUCAGCCACAUUGGGACUGAGACACGGCCCAAACUCCUACGGGAGGCAGCAGUGGGGAAUAUUGGACAAUGGGCGCAAGCCUGAUCCAGCCAUGCCGCGUGAGUGAUGAAGGUCUUAGGAUUGUAAAGCUCUUUCACCGGGGACGAUAAUGACGGUACCCGGAGAAGAAGCCCCGGCUAACUUCGUGCCAGCAGCCGCCGCCG